rnacentral:rRNA from 1 species
UACGUAGGGUGCAAGCGUUUGUCCGGAAUUAUUGGGCGUAAAGAGCUCGUAGGCGGCUUGUCGCGUCGGCUGUGAAAACCUGGGGCUCAACCCCGGGCCUGCAGCCGAUACGGGCAAGCUAGAAUUCGGUAGGGGAGACUGGAAUUCCUGGUGUAGCAGUGAAAUGCGUAGAUAUCAGGAGGAACACCGGUGGCGAAGGCGGGUCUCUGGGCCGAUACUGACACUGAGGAGCGAAAGCGUGGGGAGCGAACAGGA